rnacentral:tRNA from 1 species
GCGGAAGUGUCGGAAUUGGCAGACGAGCAAGACUAAGGAUCUUGUGGUAUUCGUACCGUGUGAGUUCAAGUCUCAUCUUCCGCAGCA